UGAAGGAGGAUUCGUCCAACGGAAGUAGAGGAAAGUGGCGGACGGGUGAGUAACGCGUGAGGAACCUGCCUUGAAGAGGGGGACAACAGUUGGAAACGACUGCUAAUACCGCAUGACGCAUAGGGGUCGCAUGAUCUUUAUGCCAAAGAUUUAUCGCUUCAAGAUGGCCUCGCGUCUGAUUAGCUGGUUGGCGGGGUAACGGCCCACCAAGGCGACGAUCAGUAGCCGGACUGAGAGGUUGAACGGCCACACUGGAACUGAGACACGGUCCAAACUCC
rnacentral:rRNA from 1 species